GUGAACGCUGGCGGUAGGCCUAACACAUGCAAGUCGAACGGCAGCACAGUAAGAGCUUGCCCUUACGGGUGGCGAGUGGCGGACGGGUGAGGAAUACAUCGGAAUCUACUUUUUCGUGGGGGAUAACGUAGGGAAACUUACGCUAAUACCGCAUACGACCUACGGGCGAAAGCAGGGGAUCUUCGGACCUUGCGCGAUUGAAUGAGCCGAUGUCGGAUUAGCUAGUUGGCGGGGUAAAGGCCCACCAAGGCGACGAUCCGUAGCUGGUCUGAGAGGAUGAUCAGCCACACUGGAACUGAGACACGGUCCAGACUCCUACGGGAGGCAGCAGUGGGGAAUAUUGGACAAUGGGCGCAAGCCUGAUCCAGCCAUACCGCGUGGGUGAAGAAGGCCUUCGGGUUGUAAAGCCCUUUUGUUGGGAAAGAAAAGCAGCAGGUUAAUACCCCGCUGUUCUGACGGUACCCAAAGAAUAAGCACCGGCUAACUUCGUG
rnacentral:rRNA from 1 species